GACGAACGCUGGCGGCGUGCCUAACACAUGCAAGUCGAGCGAGUGAAUCUCCUUCGGGAGUGAAGCUAGCGGCGGACGGGUGAGUAACACGUGGGCAACCUGCCUCAUAGAGGGGAAUAGCCUUUCGAAAGGAAGAUUAAUACCGCAUAAGAUUGUAGCUUCGCAUGAAGUAGCAAUUAAAGGAGCAAUCCGCUAUGAGAUGGGCCCGCGGCGCAUUAGCUAGUUGGUGAGGUAACGGCUAACCAAGGCGACGAUGCGUAGCCGAACUUAGAGGGUGAUCGGCCACAUUGGGACUGAGAAACGGCCCAGACUCCUACGGGAGGCAGCAGUGGGGAAUAUUGCACAAUGGGGGAAACCUUGAUGCAGCAACGCCGCGUGAGUGAUGACGGCCUUCGGGUUGUAAAGCUCUGUCUUCAGGGACGAUAAUGACGGUACCUGAGGAGGAAGCCACGGCUAACUACGUGCCAGCAGCCGCGGUAA
rnacentral:rRNA from 1 species